UGGAUAUCGGAAGCGCCGAUUUCCCUAACGCUUGUUCCGCCUUGAAAUCUCCUCUCGCCAAAUCACUCUUCGCUAUUGACGGUACUUCCCUCGCUCUAUCUUCAUUCCUUCUAAUUCUCUCGACAAUGCCCCAUCAUCAUCACGUAGUAGCAGGAGUGCUAUUGAGUUCACUCCCAGAGAGGGUUGGAAUAAUGAAAGGGUUGUUAUGCGGUGAAGGUUGCUGAUGGUGGAUGUUGUAGUUGAAGCUCAUAACUAAGUUGUGGAGGAAUGUUUGGAUGUUGCGAUUCAGUGAAGUAGAUGCAGAUUGUUGGGAAGUUGCGAGUUGAUGGGUUGAUUUUUGUUGAAGUUGGAAAGUACGGGUUUCGGUUCUGAUUGCAUUUUGGUGACACUAAAAGCGGGUUGAGUUCGAUUGGAAAAUGGGUGAGGAUGCGAAGUUUGUUGAAGGUGAAAACAAGUCCAGAUGUGAAGCCCAGGAAGAAUCAGGCUUCGGAAAACACAAUUCUCUCUCAUUUCCUUGGGAUUCUUUUCUCACUGAAAUUGUUGAGAUCAGUCACAUUACCGCCUUCAGAAGCUCUUCCAUUUCUCAAGUUUGCAUAAGCAUUUUAAGGCCCUCUUUGUUGGUGGUUGCAUCUUAUAUUUCCAAAUUGAAAAUUUGUUAAUAAGUGAGAAUCAUGAUAGCUCCUCAACAAUUCAAGAACCAUGAGCAGAUUAUCACAGUACCGGGGUUCACCGCACUGUUGACAGUUUGGGAAUGUUUGAGUUUGAACCUUGUCACCCUCAUAAUUGGUCCACAGUAAGUGUAAGAAUGGAGAAUUUUCAAAUUGCAACUCUGAAAAUGUUGUAUAUUAGGCCUGUCAUGCAAUAUAAUAGCUUUUUAAACUAAAAAUACUGGUUACAUGUCUGUCUGUUUAAUAAGAGAUAUUGCAGGGUUGGUUUUGGUUCUCUUGCGGGAUUCAUAUGUUAGUAGUGGGUUUAUAAGCAGAUAUUUAAUUGAUCUUUGCAAAACUCAGGAUUAGAAGCUAAAUUUUAAUAAUGCAUUUAAAAGUUAGCACAACUGCAUUACGCACAAAGUAUGGAUUUAACCUGAUUAUUUUUUUAAAAAAAUUGUUGGAAAUUUAGGUGUUAAAAAAGUGUACAUGUUUCUAGUUUAACUUA